rnacentral:lncRNA from 1 species
CAAUGGUGGGGUAUUGCCCAAUGGUGGGGUAUAUUGUCCAAUGGUGGGACAAUUGGCUCCGUUUAGAGGUGAAAUCCGGAUCAUGAGCAUGCACAUAUAUAUUGACCAUUAGGGACUAACGCAUUUUAGUCAGAGUGUAACUUGGUGCUAGGGGUGAUGAUUAUGAAACUGGAGUAAUGUGUCAUGUAUGUUUCAUUUAUUUUUAUUUUCAUGAAAUCUAUGUUGUAUGCCUAUUUGUACCAUGUUUGUUAGUUGGAGAUGACCCUUACUUUUGGACAGAUGACCGUCGAUCCGUG